GGCGCAUGGUGGAUGCCUUGGGAUAUCAGGGCGAUGAAGGACGUGGCGUGACUGCGAUAAGCUUCGGGGAGGUGUCGAGCAACCUUUGAUCCGGAGAUAUCCGAAUGGGGAAACCCGUUUGCGCAAAACGCAAACAGCCUUGUCGAAUGACGGGGCGGCAAACCCGCUGAAGUGAAACAUCUUAGUAAGCGGAGGAAAAGAAAUCAUUCCCUUAGUAGCGGCGAGCGAACAGGGAGAAGUCUAAACCUAUAUUCAGCAGCAAUGCUGGAUAUGGGGGUUGCAAGAUAGAGACGCAUCGCAAGAUGGGGAGUAAUAGAAAUCAAAACUUCCGUAGCAGAAGACGCCUGGAACGGCGCGCCAAAGAGGGUAACAGCCCCGUAUGCGAAACGGGUUUUGAUACUCCUCGUUUCUACUCUUAAGUACCGCGGGAAACGAAUGCCCCGCGGGAAUCCGGCCGGACUGUUUGGCCAAGACUAAAUACCUGAUAUCACCGAUAGUGAACCAGUACCGUGAGGGAAAGGUGAAAAGUAGCCCGAUGAGGGCGGUGAAAUAGAACCUGAAACCAUGCCGAUAGUGAACCAGUACCGUGAGGGAAAGGUGAAAAGUAGCCCGAUGAGGGCGGUGAAAUAGAACCUGAAACCAUGUCGCCUACAAAGAGUCGGAGCUCCGGUAGCAAUACCGUGAGUGACGGCGUGCUUUUUGCAGAACGAGCCAACGAGUUUCUUUUGUCAGUUUGUCUAAGUGCUUCUGGCACGGAGGCGCAGGGAAACCGAGUCCAAAAGGGCGUCUAUGACUGACGGAGGAAGACCCGAAGCCAAUGCGAGCUUGCCAUGGCCAGGAUGAACUUAACAGAAAUGUUGAGGGAGGUCCGAACCCGUGAGCCGUGCAAUACUCUGGGAUGAGCUGUGGCAAGAAGUGAAAAGCUAAUCGAGCUUGGGAAUAGCUGGUUCUCUCCGAAAUAGCUUUCGGGCUAGCGUCAUCUAUGUCUUCUGGAGGUAGAGCUCUGGAAAGAAUAAUCUUGGAGCAAUCCAGAUAU
rnacentral:rRNA from 1 species